UGAACGCUAGCGGCAGGCUUAAUACAUGCAAGUCGAGGGGCAUCAAGGUACACGAAAGUGUAUUGUUGGCGACCGGCGGACGGGUGAGUAAUAGGUAGGUAACCUACCUCAUACUGAGGCAUAGCUGGGAGAAAUUCCAGGUAAUUUCUCAUGAGGUUAUAUGACACAUGUGAUAUAAUCAAAGGUAUCGCAAGGUACUGGUAUGAGAUGGGCUUACUGACCAUUAGCUAGUUGGUGAGAUAAGAGCUCACCAAGGCGAAGAUGGUUAGGGGUUUUGAGAGAGAGAUCCCCCACAUUGGAACUGAGAUACGGUCCAGACUCCUACGGGAGGCAGCAGUAGGGAAUAUUGGGCAAUGGGCGGAAGCCUGACCCAGCCAUGCCGCGUGAAGGAAGACGGCCUUAUGGGUUGUAAACUUCUUUACUAUGCGACUAACUAGAUUUACGAGAUAAUUCUAUAGAAUGUAGCAUAGCAAAAAGCACCGGCUAACUCCGUG
rnacentral:rRNA from 1 species